UACGGGGGAGCAAGCGUUGUUCGGAUUACUGGGCGUAAAGGGCGCGUAGGCGGUCGUGACAAGUCACUUGUGAAAUCUCCGGGCUUAACUCGGAACGGUCAAGUGAUACUGUCGGACUAGAGUACAGAAGGGGCAACUGGAAUUCUCGGUGUAGCGGUGAAAUGCGUAGAUAUCGAGAGGAACACCUGCGGCGAAGGCGGUUGCUGGGCUGAUACUGACGCUGAGGCGCGAAAGCCAGGGAGCGAACGGG
rnacentral:rRNA from 1 species